rnacentral:rRNA from 1 species
AUGCUCGAGUUCAUCUACACGGACUCGCUGCCCGAGAUCGACGCGGGCGAGACGGUGGAGAUGGCCCAGCACCUCCUCGUGGCGGCCGACAGGUAUGAUCUCCGGAGGCUGAAGUUGAUCUGCGAGGACAAGUUGUGUGACAACAUUGACAGGAGAACGGCGGCGACUACCCUGACGCUGGCCGAGCAGCAUGGUUGUCGCGGGCUCAAGGAGGCGUGCAUGUACUACCUCGCGUCACCGGGCAACCUAGAGGCGAGUCAAGGCCGUCACGGCUUUACAUACCUGACGAAGAGCUGCCCCGCCCUCCACAGGGCCAUCGCCGACCAGGCCACGGCUGUCUCGGGGUCACACAUUGUCACGAUAGUCGGCUACUCCCAUACCAAAACGCUCGGCUACGGAAAUUGCCUCACGUCCAAGAUGUUCGUCAUCGGAGGCCGUCGCUGGUGCAUGGAGUACUACCCCGACGGCCGUAGCCCAGAACACGCCGACUGGAUAUCCGUCCUUAUCGGGCUUGAUCGCUCCGACCCCAUUCGGGGCACCACCGCCAAAGCACGGUACGAGAUCAGUUUGCUUGCCCUUGACGGGAGCCCGGUGGCGCCGUGUAUAAUCGCUAGCAAGGGAUGAUGCAAGUUCACCGGGAGAGGGAAGCCGGGCGGUGAACUCGUGGAGAGGAAGGUCCUGGAGGAAUCGGGCUACCUGAAUGAUGAUGCUUUUAGUAUCAGGUGUGAUAUCACCAUGGCAAAGUAG